rnacentral:rRNA from 3 species
GGAGGCAGCAGUGGGGAAUUUUCCGCAAUGGGCGAAAGCCUGACGGAGCAACGCCGCGUGAGGGAGGAAGGUCUUUGGAUUGUAAACCUCUUUUCUCAAGGAAGAAGUUCUGACGGUACUUGAGGAAUCAGCCUCGGCUAACUCCGUGCCAGCAGCCGCGGUAAUACGGGGGAGGCAAGCGUUAUCCGGAAUUAUUGGGCGUAAAGCGUCCGCAGGUGGUCAGCCAAGUCUGCUGUCAAAUCAGGUUGCUUAACGACCUAAAGGCGGUGGAAACUGGCAGACUAGAGAGCAGUAGGGGUAGCAGGAAUUCCCAGUGUAGCGGUGAAAUGCGUAGAGAUUGGGAAGAACAUCGGUGGCGAAAGCGUGCUACUGGGCUGUAUCUGACACUCAGGGACGAAAGCUAGGGGAGCGAAAGGGAUUAGAUACCCCUGUAGUCCUAGCCGUAAACGAUGGAUACUAGGCGUGGCUUGUAUCGACC